UUAGCCGUAUUACAGCUGCAAUGACGUGUGAACACAGAGCCUGCUUCCUUGUUUCGCUUUUAAGAUGCAAUGGAACUAGUAGAUCUUUACCACUGUGACUGCCCACAUUAUUAAGAAAACCCAUCAACCAGAGUUGAGAAAUAAGUAAACAUCCCAACGAACUGAGCUGUAGUUAUGGUAGAAUCAAUCGUUUAAAUGUUACAGCAUUCACCAUACAGGAGACUGUGAGAUGGACCACCCACAAAAGGAAAACAAAUGACCUUCGGCAUCCGACUCAUGUGGACUUAAAGGAAAGAAAUUCUAACAUGGCCAAAGCAUUGCUUAAGGAAAGGUCUGAGACAUCCCUGAAAACAAGAGGCAGUUGGGAGGUAUAGUCAGACGUCUCAACAUCUGUCUCUAUUUUGGGGGAAUUGCCACCCGGUAGUGUGAAUCUUGCCUCAAGAUGAUUGUCACUGUUGAAGUGACACCCCGACCCCAUGUGCAAAAUUGGGUUGAGGAUGGAUGGAUGGAUGGAUGGAUUCCUUUUUUCAGUCCUGAGGAAAAAACAUGCAUGACCAACAUACUACUGACAAUAAUAAUUUAAAGAAAGAAGACACACAUCUACAACUCCCUUUGUCUAAAGCAAAAAUAAAUGACCUUGUGUGGCAGAGUUUUGUGAUACUGUUCAUUAAAAUCUAAUGAUUUUACACUCUC